rnacentral:rRNA from 1 species
CGGCAGGCCUAACACAUGCAAGUCGAACGAGAAGCUUACCUUCGGGUAAGUGGACAGUGGCAGACGGGUGAGUAACGCGUGGGAAUUUACCAAGAGGUACAGGACAACCACUGGAAACGGUGGCUAAUACUGUAUGAGCCCCUUUGAUUGGUUUCAGCUGGGGGAAAGAUUUAUCGCCUUUUGAUGAGCCCGCGUUGGAUUAGUUUGUUGGUGAGGUAACGGCUCACCAAGACGACGAUCUAUAGCUGUUCUGAGAGGAAGAUCAGCCACACUGGGACUGAGACACGGCCCAGACUCCUACGGGAGGCAGCAGUGGGGAAUCUUGUACAAUGGGCGAAAGCCUGAUGCAGCCAUGCCGCGUGAGUGAAGAAGGCCCUAGGGUUGUAAAGCUCUUUCGCCAGGGAAGAUAAUGACGGUACCUGGUAAAGAAGCCCCGGCUAACUCCGUGCCAGCAGCCGCGGUAAUACGGAGGGGGCUAGCAUUGUUCGGAAUUACUGGGCGUAAAGCGCGCGUAGGCGGAUACACAAGUUGGGGGUGAAAUCCCGGAGCUCAACUCC